ensembl:snRNA U6 U6 spliceosomal RNA
UCGCUUCAGCAGCAAAUAUACUAAAAUUGGAACGAUACAGAGAUUAGCAUAGCCCCUGUGCAAAGAUGACACACACACAAAUCCAUCUUG